rnacentral:pre_miRNA from 1 species
UCCUGUCUUCGUGAUCUGCGAAAGGCUCCUCACAGUCAUUGCCCAUCUGAUUGUGAGACUCAGGCACCUGUCGUAGAUCAUGAAGAUGGGG